GCCACCGAGCCCUCCUCGCUAGCUUGAGGAGCAUCCACACUCUCUCCCCAUGCAGCUGUCUUGGGAGUGAUGCUGGAGUUUGGAUCAUAUUCCAUGCGCCCGUGGCUCCAAAUGCCCAUCAUUCCUCAGUACUGGGCAAAGGUUGUUCAGCCUCAGGUGAAGUGAGACAAAGAAGGACGUCAAGAGGUUUUGCUGGGUUUGAUGGGUUUCAUCUGGGACGGGUUACAAUGCAUUUUGUGUAAUCAUCUCUUUUCAUUAAGUGGCA
rnacentral:lncRNA from 1 species